GAUGAAGAACGCAGCAAAAUGCGAUAAGUAAUGUGAAUUGCAGAAUUCAGUGAAUCAUCGAAUCUUUGAACGCACAUUGCGCCCGCCAGUAUUCUGGCGGGCAUGCCUGUUCGAGCGUCAUUUCAACCCUCAAGCACAGCUUGGUGUUGGGACUCGCGUUAAUUCGCGUUCCCCAAAUUGAUUGGCGGUCACGUCGAGCUUCCAUAGCGUAGUAGUAAAACCCUCGUUACUGGUAAUCGUCGCGGCCACGCCGUUAAACCCCAACUUCUGAAUGUUGACCUCGGAUCAGGUAGGACUACCCGCUGAACUUAAGCAUAUCAAUAAGCGGAGGA
rnacentral:misc_RNA from 1 species